CUUCGGGUGACGACCGGCGCACGGGUGAGUAACACGUAGGAAUCUACCCUGGACUGUGGGAUAACUAGAGGAAACUCUUGCUAAUACCGCAUAUAGCCGAAAGGUGAAAGAUUUAUCGGUCUAGGAUGAGCCUGCGCAUGAUUAGCUUGUUGGUAAGGUAAAAGCUUACCAAGGCGACGAUCAUUAGCUGGUUUGAGAGGAUGACCAGCCACAAUGGAACUGAUACACGGUCCAUACUUC
rnacentral:rRNA from 1 species